rnacentral:rRNA from 1 species
UGGGGAAUUUUGGACGAAUUGGGGGCAACCGUGAUCCAGCAAUGCCGCGUGUAUGAAGAAGGCCUUCGGGUUGUAAAGCACUUUUGUCCGGAAAGAAAACGCCGUGGUUAAUACCCGUGGCGGAUGACGGUACCGGAAGAAUAAGCACCGGCUAACUACGUGCCAGCAGCCGCGGUAAUACGUAGGGUGCAAGCGUUAAUCGGAAUUACUGGGCGUAAAGCGUGCGCAGGCGGUCCGCUAAGACAGAUGUGAAAUCCCCGGGCUUAACCUGGGAACUGCAUUUGUGACUGGCGGGCUAGAGUAUGGCAGAGGGGGGUAGAAUUCCACGUGUAGCAGUGAAAUGCGUAGAGAUGUGGAGGAAUACCGAUGGCGAAGGCAGCCCCCUGGGCCAAUACUGACGCUCAUGCACGAAAGCGUGGGGAGCAAACAGGAUUAGAUACCCUGGUAUCCACGCCCUAAACGAUGUC